CAGCAGUGGGCACAAACAGAGUGACUGGCAGAGGAAGCAUCGCACAUACUUGAGAGUGAGACGUCUACGUGUCUCACAUCGAGUCGACCAGCAGAGCUCAAAGGUUCCCAGUGUUCAGUCUGCUCAGAAGCGUCACCUGGACUCCGUAUUAAUGCGACUGGAAGAAAAUAU